rnacentral:lncRNA from 1 species
CUACUCUCUUUGUGGAAUACUGGAAUAUACAGUUGCUAUGGCAUACCGUGACAAUCAUUGUCGGCCAAUAAUUUCAUUCGAGGUUCAUUCGUCCACGCGAAAAAGUAAAUUUUUAUUUUAUGAUUAAGGCAUUAAUGUAAUGUGUUUAGUUUAUCAUGUUCUUUCAUUGGCAUCAGAGCCAUACGCUAGUUUUCUGGUCCGAGAAAUAUAUGAAAAUACAAAUUUGUUGUUUGAAAUCAUGAACUAAGUGUCUAUUUCCUCUACAC